rnacentral:rRNA from 1 species
UACGUAGGUGGCGAGCGUUGUCCGGAUUUACUGGGCGUAAAGAGCGCGCAGGCGGCCAAGUCAGUCGAAUGUGAAAGCCCCCGGCUUAACUGGGGAGGGUCAUUCGAUACUGCUCGGCUCGAAGACAGGAGAGGGAAGUGGAAUUCCCGGUGUAGUGGUGAAAUGCGCAGAUAUCGGGAGGAACACCAGUGGCGAAGGCGACUUUCUGGCCUGUUCUUGACGCUGAGGCGCGAAAGCUAGGGGAGCAACGGG